rnacentral:rRNA from 1 species
CGUAGGGUGCAAGCGUUAAUCGGAAUUACUGGGCGUAAAGCGUGCGCAGGCGGUUUUGUAAGUCUGUCGUGAAAUCCCGGGCUCAACCUGGGAAUUGCGAUGGAGACUGCAAGGCUAGAAUCUGGCAGAGGGGGGUAGAAUUCCACGUGUAGCAGUGAAAUGCGUAGAGAUGUGGAGGAACACCGAUGGCGAAGGCAGCCCCCUGGGUCAAGAUUGACGCUCAUGCACGAAAGCGUGGGGAGCAAACAGGAUUAGAUACCCUGGUAGUCCACGCCCUAAACGAUGUCUACUAGUUGUCGGGUUUUAAUUAACUUGGUAACGCAGCUAACGCGUGAAGUAGACCGCCUGGGGAGUACGGUCGCAAGAUUA